CAAGACGCACGUGGUUCUCGCAUGCGUCAACAAGGCCAACUCCGAACUCUCCUCGCACCAGAAGAAGAUCUUCAAGGUCGACAACCACAUCGGCGUCGCCAUCGCCGGCCUCACUGCCGACGGCCACGUCCUCUCCCGGUACAUGCGCUCCGAGUGCAUCAACUAUAACUACACCUACGAGUCCCCUCUGCCCGUCGGCAGACUCGUCGUUCAGCUCGCCGACAAGGCACAGGUCCUCAUUCCCCUUCCUUCCACAUAUGCUUUGUUUUUCUUCAGCGACAGAAGUAAUUACUAUCUCUCGCAUUUUAAUUGUUGGAAUUGGCACGACUCGUCUGGUGUUCCGCUGUUUAAUUUCGAUUUUAGGUCACGCGAUUAAACUGUGAAUUGCGUGUUGUAUGUUUGUUAAAUUUCGGAACUGUGAAUGCAUUUCGUUUUUCCUUCUUAUUUUUCUGUCAUACAAGUGCUUAUAAAGAAGUUUCUCCAAACAUAUCUAAUUUCUAUUAUAUGCAGUUACACAUAUUUAAGUUGUGUUUUAGUCGUAGAAAGUUGUAUAAAUAGGGCAUUGGAGACAAUUUUGCGCUUGUAUCUGCAGAAUUACAUGGCAAAAGAGA
rnacentral:lncRNA from 1 species